rnacentral:rRNA from 1 species
GUAGGGGGCAAGCGUUAUCCGGAUNUACUGGGUGUAAAGGGAGCGUAGACGGCAGUGCAAGUCUGAAGUGAAAGCCCGGGGCUCAACCCCGGGACUGCUUUGGAAACUGUGCAGCUAGAGUGUCGGAGAGGCAAGCGGAAUUCCUAGUGUAGCGGUGAAAUGCGUAGAUAUUAGGAGGAACACCAGUGGCGAAGGCGGCUUGCUGGACGAUGACUGACGUUGAGGCUCGAAAGCGUGGGGAGCAAACAGGAUUAGAUACCCUGGUAGUCCACGCCGUAAACGAUGACUACUAGGUGUCGGGGAGCAAAGCUCUUCGGUGCCGCAGCCAACGCAAUAAGUAGUCCACCUGGGGAGU